rnacentral:rRNA from 1 species
CUCCUACGGGAGGCAGCAGUGGGGAAUCUUGGACAAUGGGCGCAAGCCUGGUCCAGCCAUGCCGCGUGAGUGAAGAAGGUCUUCGGAUUGUAAAGCUCUUUUGCCAGGGACGAUAAUGACGGUACCUGGAGAAUAAGCCCCGGCAAACUUCGUGCCAGCAGCCGCGGUAAUACGAAGGGGGCUAGCGUUGUUCGGAAUUACUGGGCGUAAAGCGCACGUAGGCGGGUCGUUAAGUCAGGGGUGAAAUCCCGGAGCUCAACUCCGGAACUGCCUUUGAUACUGGCGAUCUUGAGAUCGGAAGAGGUGAGUGGAAUUCC